rnacentral:rRNA from 1 species
GACGAACGCUGGCGGCGUGCUUAACACAUGCAAGUCGAGCGGUAAGGCCCUUUCGGGGUACGACGAGCGGCGAACGGGUGAGUAACACGUGGGUGACCUGCCCUCAGCUCUGGGAUAAGCCUGGGAAACUGGGUCUAAUACCGGAUAUGACCCCAUGACGCAUGUUGUGGGGUGGAAAGCCUUGUGCGGCUGAGGAUGGGCCCGCGGCCUAUCAGCUUGUUGGUGGGGUGAUGGCCUACCAAGGCGACGACGGGUAGCCGGCCUGAGAGGGCGACCGGCCACACUGGGACUGAGACACGGCCCAGACUCCUACGGGAGGCAGCAGUGGGGAAUCUUGCGCAAUGGGCGAAAGUCUGACGCAGCGACGCCGCGUGA